UGGGGAAUAUUGGACAAUGGGGGAAACCCUGAUCCAGCGACGCCGCGUGUGUGAAGAAGGCCUGCGGGUUGUAAAGCUCUGUCGGAGGGAACGAAUGCUCCUGAAGUUAACAGCUUCAGGAGGUGACGGUACCCUCAAAGGAAGCACCGGCUAACUCUGUGCCAGCAGCCGCGGUAAUACGAAGGGUGCAAGCGUUACUCGGAAUUACUGGGCGUAAAGCGUGCGUAGGUGGUCGUUUAAGUCCGUUGUGAAAGCCCUGGGCUCAACCUGGGAACUGCAGUGGAUACUGGACGACUAGAGUGUGGUAGAGGGUAGCGGAAUUCCUGGUGUAGCAGUGAAAUGCGUAGAGAUCAGGAGGAACAUCCAUGGCGAAGGCAGCUACCUGGACCAACACUGACACUGAGGCACGAAAGCGUGGGGAGCAAACAGGAUUAGAUACCCCGGUAGUCCCUGAGCGGGCUGGCAAGGCGCAU
rnacentral:rRNA from 1 species